rnacentral:lncRNA from 1 species
GUCGAAGGAGUAGCAUUUGUCAAAGGGGCUAUCGACAUCCGAGGCACCAAAGGAGAUGUACUAGGCAGAGAAGUCGUUGGCGGGGAUAGUGUGCUCAUGACGGAUAGCCUCAUGGAUGUUCUCAUUUGCUUGACAGCGGUUUAUGGAGGAUUGGGGCUAGACAUCUGGUGGGGCGGUGGAGCAAGAGAACCAACAGGCAUGACGGCGGCUAGCUAGGACUUUGUUGGAGGAAAGAUUUGGGAGGC